rnacentral:tRNA from 1 species
GCUUUUAUAGCUAAUAAUAAAGUUCAAGGCUCUUAACCUUGCGAUACAGUUACUCUGUUAAAAGCA